CCCUUAGAUGUCCUGGGCUGCACGCGCGCUACACUGGAAGUUACGGAUUGAGAUACUACCUUGUCCGAAAUGGUCCGGGUAAUCACCUAAAAGCUUGUCAUAAUUGGAAUGGAUUAUUGUAACUAGUAAUCCUGAACGAGGAAUUCCUAGUAAGUCCCAGUCAACAGCUGGUACUGAUUACGUCUCUGCCCUUUGUACACACCGCCCGUCGCUACUACUGAUUGGACGUUUAAGCAAGAUUUUUAAACACUGACAGUGUGUAGUUCACGCUAUACUACAGUGAGAAGAAGAAGAUCGAGCUUACUUGUCUAGAGGAAGUAAAAGUCGUAACA
rnacentral:rRNA from 1 species